rnacentral:lncRNA from 1 species
GCAAUUAAUUCAAAGAAAUGGAUUAAAGUUUUGCCCUCAUGAAUUUGGACAUGACCCCAGAUACUGUUUGUGUACUUUACUGGGAUUCCUUGGUACAGCUUUAUAAUUCUGGAAUGACUCUUACUGCUUCUGUCUUUGGAGCAUGGCUGUGCAUAUGAAGCUACUGAGAAGAGUGGCCAAAGCAAUUUGGAAGGAAUGACUCUUCACAAGAUUUAGUUCCGUCUCAUACUUCCAGGGCUGGUAAAAGGAAAUCUCUCAUUUCUAAAAGAGAAUUUCAGCUGUUCUGAACUUCAAAAGGUGAUAUAUUGUGCUUUCAUCAUCAAUCAUCAUCAUCAUCAUCAUCAUCCUGAGAAAGUCUAAAACAUAAUUACAGAACUUUAAGGAUAUGACCAAGUGCUGAUCUCAUCUUAAUAUUGUUGCUGGCUAUAUGAUGAACACCUUUGAUCUGCAAAAUCAGAUCGUCAGCUCAGGGAAGUAUUUUUCUAUGUGCAUAACUUUUAUUUUGAUUUCAGUACUUCUUUCUCAUUUUCAUUUGUCUGUGAUCUAAGAGAGGGAUUCUGUCUUCUCCUUUACACAGGUAAUUCAGUUUCCACAGUAAUGAUUCUACUCUUUAUUGGUUAUAAUGCAGUUUAAAAUUUUAAUUAUAGUAAUAUCAGUCUCUUCCUAUUUUUCAUAUUUACCUAGUUCACUUUAUUUUUCUGUAUAUGACAAUGAUCUAAUCUUUCUCCUUUGUCUCAGAGUUGUUUUAUUGAAAUUUAUUAUGAGCACAAAGCAGGUGCUAUCUGAAUUUGAUUUCUGUUUUAAUAUAUAAUUUUUUCAGGUAGAUAGGUACUCUGUCUCUGUUUUUUGAUUACAGGGUUAUCUACCUUGGUUUUGCAGAAUCUUUUCAUAUAUUCUAUAUUGUUUAUCCAUCCUUGAACAUGAAGAGAUUGAGUUAGGCCUGACAUUAAGUAUAAAUCAGGUAGGAAGUUUCUGUGUGGGUCCUCAAUUCCUAAUAUGCCUAAAUCCAUUAGGUUAGACUCUUCGGUGUUUAGAUUGGAGGACUAGCUGAUGUAAGUUUUCAUGGUUAGGUCAGUGAUCUCACCAGCCAGUUAGGCAUGGAGAAAGAUGUAGGGCUUUAGGAAAGUCCAGAAGAACCAAUUUGUCUCUGAACCAUUACUCCCUGAGUUUGGUGAGGCAUGGGCACUGGGAGUGACCUUUUUGUGUCUGUUGUAUCCACUGCGUCAGCUUUUGCACCUACUCUGUGUCCCUGUCUGAUCUCUUUACUACUGUCCAAGGCUCAGAAGAGCUCCCCAAUACUAACAGAUGCCAGUUAUUCUGGAAUUUUCCCUUUAAUAGGCCACACUUACUUUUAAUAUCCCUCAAAGAGCUGCUUAUCAUCCAUGGUGGUGAAGUGGUUCCUAAUGGAAAGUUCUCUAUUUCUUCUGCUAGCUACCAUUGCAAAGGAAAAGAAAUAAAAAUCUAAUUCUCCCUCCUCCCUUUAGGGAGUGUGAGUGUGUUCUAUCUAUUUGCUUAAUAAAUAUGCGUUAAAUUUAAUUAUUGUUGAAUUGUCUUCCUACAGUUUUAAGUAGAAUGACCCCUCCUACGUACCAACAACAACAAAAAAGAUUAUCAGAAAUUUCUGGAAAUACAGCUUUUGUAAAAUAACACUUCUGACAACCAAUCUAACAACUUCAGUGAUGAUAUUGCUUAGGGAAGUUCAGGAGUCUAAUUCUACAGCAAAUUUCAGGUGGAAUGUCCUUCUUAAGGUAGCCACCCACCAUCGCAGGUCAGUAAGUAACAGUGACUUUCACUCUUUUAAAGGAAAAACACUAAUGCAAAUGUUGAUCAACAUCUAUUAACAAUGACUGAGCAAUGCUCAUUGCUUGGAAAGGUGAGAGGGUUAAAAUUUGAAUCAUUUUCUGAGGAAACCUGUUCAAGUCAGGCUAUAACUUCAUACUUCUGAGAGCAUGACAGGAUUGUAUCCCUAGGAUUUUUCUUCAAAUCUCUAGAUUCUACUUUUUCCGCCUUGUUUUUUGUUUCUCUUGAGCACUUCCAUGCCCAGACUAGGAGGCUAUUUUAGUAUCACUGUUCCGUAAAUUCUUUAGAUUAACCUUUAGUGGCACCAAAAUAGCCUAAGUAUGUGGAUAUACAGAUCUUAAUUAAUUUUUAAGGCAUAAUAGAGUUCCUAGAUACAAUAUAUGUUUUAAAAAAGAAAAGAAUUAGAAAACAGCUUAUCUAAGGAACUUACAAAUCAAUAAGAUAAACAACCAUACCAAAUGAGAAGCAGAAAAUAUAAGCAGACAUUUCACAGAAGAAAAAAUCCAGGUGAUCACAAACAUAGAAAGAGACAGCCUUACUAAUACCCAGAGAAAUACAAAUUAAAACAUCCUGAUGACAUUUCACAACAGUAAAAUUGACAGAGUCUAGGAAGUUUGUUAAAUGAAGUGUUGGUAGGGGAAAAGAAACUCUUAAUCACUGAUGGCAGAAGUACCAAUUGAUACAACUGCUUUGGACAGUGAUUUUGUGAUAGUAAGCAGAGUCGACUAUCUAUCUAUCUAUCUAUCUAUCUAUCUAUCUAUCUAUCUAUCUAUCUAUCUAUCUAUGUCCUAUGACCUUCCAUUUGGCUUCUGGGUUUCCAUCCUAGCGAAAUCUUUGUACUUCUCUGAGCCAUUCUUUUAAUAACAAUAAAUUGGAAAUGACUCAGAUGUCUAUCAGCAAGAGAAUGGAAACUACUAAACUGUGGUAUAUUGAUGAAGAUGGAAUGUUAUGCAAUACCAAAGUAAAUGAACAUUCUCAUAUGUCAACAUGGACAGGUUUUAAAGGCAGUGUUGAAUGAGAAAAAGGGAUUACAUUUUGAUACCACUUAUUUAAAUUUAAAAUGGCAAGCAAUGGUAAUACAGCAUUUAAUGAAUAUAUGUGAAUAUAUACACAUUGUAUGAUUAUAUGUGUGAAUUAAAUAUAUUUCAUUUUAGAAGAGUUUAUCUUCUAGGAUUGGAGAGAUGUAAAUGUAUCUGUGGAUGGAAAAAGAGAAGAUGGCAAUUUUCUUGUAAUGUGUGUGCCCAUUUCCUUAAAUAAAAGAGCUCUGGAAGUAAAUACUGCAAAGCAUGGCUCACUUACAAUAGUGGGUACAUUAGUAUUUGCUGUAUUUCCUUGUAAAUAUUAGGCUUUUGUAUUAAAAAAAAAAAAGGGAUCCUGUACAUAUACUCUUUGGGCCCCUAAUCUGUCACUAAAUUCUCUGCUGGUCCUAUGGGUGCCAGAACAUCAGCAACAUGCUGGAGGGCUUGCCUGUCCUUUCUGCACAUGGGAAGCUGUUUUCUAGCUCUUGAUUUUGUCUAGACAUAGUUUUUCUGCAGUGUUUUUCUCAGCUGCACAUAUGUUAAAUACCUCUGAAAAGUGACAUCAAUCCACUUUCAGGGGAGAAACAAUUUUAAAACUGCAAUUCAUCUGCAAUGAUUCUUAUUUUUAAUAUUUUAGGAUAAAUAUUAAAAUGUCAUCUAAAUGACAACAGUGCAAAUAAUGGAUUUUUAUACUCAGACAUUAUUGUUAUCUACUUCAUCUGCAAUGUUAUUUGAUACCUUAGGAGAACAAGAUUCUUUAUAAAAGUAGAUUGUGAUCUCUCUGUUUUAAAACACAACAUGAGAGGUAGACAUCUUUUCUUCUUACAUUUCCAAUCUAAUAAUCCUCCUUUUCAAUAGCCUUAGUGUUAUAAAAAAAUAAAAUUCAGAAAAAGAGUUGUACUUCUAUGGACCUCACCAGAAUCAUGUGGAGGGUUUUGAAGUGUUUUAAAGGAAAUUUCUGCCUUGCCUUAGGCUAGAGUAAGGGCUAGGAGUGAAGAGGGUGGAUCCAUAGGAAAGAAGGCUCAGCUCUGGUGUGAAGUGCUGUGGUGAUUAGAGGAAAUGACUUAUCAGUUCCUUUGUGAUCUCCAAAAGAAACCAUUUGUGAAAUCAAUGGCUGCCUGGCAGAGCCCAUCAACUGGCGGUCAAAGAUAUAUAUCUUCAUUACUAUCAGUUACCUGUGUCCUUUGGGUGGCUAGAAGGGACCUAAAUUCUAUAGGUCAGAGCACCAUCAUGAGUAAAGGCAUCACACUGAUUUACAUGCAAUUAUUAUAUGCAAGGGGAAGCUUGGCACUACUUUAUCUUACAGGAAAUCAAAUGCUGGCUUAACUGUUAUUAUCUAGACAGCUUAAUAUGUUCCUUAUGAGAAAAUUUCCAAUCUAUAUCAACCCACUUACAAGAACUAAUAGAUAGAGUGGAAAACAUAAAAUAUAAUUACUGUGGCAAUGAUGUGCACAAUCACUUCAGCUGCUGGGCUACUUUGGGAUGUUUAAACAGCUAAUGUGAAGUCAGGAAGGGGAGAACAUUUUUCUGAUUAGUGCUGUGUAGGGAAUACUGAGAAAAAGUACAUAGAAAAUGCUUGUAGCCAUGUGAAAUAGCCCAAGUGGAGCUGAAAUAAGACCCCCUUUCAUCCUACAAGUUAUUUUGGGGUUAGAAUGUUUAAAUAAAAACAAGAUGGAUAGUUCCUCAGGAUUUCAGAGCUGGAACAGAGAACCUUUUGCUGAGGCAAGGAGGAAUGGUGGAGGCAGUCACAUUCCAAUGAAAAAGUCCUCUACCAUGGAGGUUUGGCUCAGAAAGCAGUGGCUGGGCAUCUGGAGCCUGAAGACUUACACCUUUUAAUGGGGAAUACCUCUUUUUUUAAAUUUUUUUAAAUUUUUUUUUUGGGGGGGCGAAAUAUCUCUUUAUAGGUCCUUGGAAAUUUUGGAUCCUUGUGGUCUGGCAUGGCUAGGAGAUUGCAUCGUAGUGUAAAUAAGCCACACUGGGCUUCAGCAUUUUUCUUCUAAACAAUUCAAAUAGACCUUAAGAUAGUUAUUGGGACUUUGUGGGGUGAGGGUCACAUAAAUAACAGCUCACUUGCCCCUUUGGAUUUAGAAGUCAUUGAAAAAUAUAUUACUGGAAAGGACGUGGCUAAACAUCAAAAUGCCAUGUUUAGUGGUUCAGUUGAAUUGGAACAACUUGGAUCUGCAACUACCAGUACUUUCUCUGAAUGAAGCUCACUACCCAGCCACAGGCCUCUCCUAAGGCAGGACACUCAGGUUAUAUUCUGGGACACGGCUGUUCCUAUAGUUUGAAGGCUGAGGCCCAUGGUCCAGCCCUUCUCCCCAGUUCACUCAACUACUCAGGGAGGAGAAGGAGGAGGAAGAGGAAAAAGAAGGGAGUAGUAAGAGGCAGACCCAAAUAUUUCUCCCACACUUUUCCUGCUUAAUGUUUCUCUGUAUAGAAAUAUGAAAAGUAUUAUAUUAUCUCUAUAAUGGUCCUUGACCAUAUCAAAGAUCUAUUUAUUCUAAUUACAUCUUUGGGCUAAGAUUAGUCAACAUAUAGGAAUAUAUAUUUUGGAAUUGCCAGGAGCACUCAGAUAUCAACUCUGGGAAAUUAUAAACUAACAGUUAUUGAGUAUUAGCCAUCUCAGUCUAAGCUGCUCAUCUACAGAUGCAAAAUCAAAAGCCCUUAUAAGAGCAAUUUGCUCAGGGUCAGAGUUAGUUAACUGCAGGCUGGGACCAGUAGCCAGGGUUCUUUCUCCUUGGGUAAGGCUUCCUUUUAAGGAACUGUAUUCAUAUCAGUACUGGGAUAUUACUAGUAAAUAUUUUGGUGGGAGUGGUGCUACUUACAAUCUGACAAUCUCUGUUCCAAUAACAUGUUAUCCUAUUUCAUCCUUACAAUCAUAGUGAAAUUGAUAAUAUAAUUGUUUUCAUUUAACAGAUAAAAAAAUUCAUUCUCCAAGAGAGAAGAGAGACUUGUCCAAGGUCAUUCAGCAAAUGAGUGAGGACUCAGAUCCACCCAACAUUCUUCCCUAAAUCAAAGCUAUGAAAGAUCAUUAGGGAAGAUCUUGCCUAAUCUUCCAAUUCUACUGCACGGAAACAGGAAGUAUGAUUCCAAAGAAUGGGCCUAUGAGUGCACUUCCAAACCACAGCUAAUUUUCCCUAAGAGUCUUCCGGAUGGUGGGUUUUUUGAGUACUUUCCAGAAAAAAAAAGUCAAUUAAUAUCUUACUGUUACUUGUACAUAGAAUUGUAUAUAACUGUUCAAUAAAUUGCAAAACAGAGCCUCUGGCUUCACACAUUACUGAUAAUGAACAUCAGAACUUUGGUUGGUUCAAUUAACACAUUGUAAUUUCACUCAAUGAGAUGACUUUCAAUUAAAAACUUGUUAACUGCAUACAGAGACUAGAAGAAAGGCCAAAUGCUAACAUGUGGCAUCCUUUAAUUACAUGAAGAAAUGUUUGGAAUUCAAAGGUGAUGGGAAGCAUUUUGAUCUCCGCAUAAUGAACAAUUGUUCAUUAUCAUAGUCCUAUCGAAUUCUAAUUACUUACAGGAAUUAUAUGAUCCCUUAAAUAUUAGAAGUGGCAAAUACAGUGUAUACAAUAUUUUCAUGAAGUAAGAUUACUACAGGUUUAAUAGUGAAAUACAGUGAAGUCUUCCAAAAUUUUUGUUGUGUUUAUGCAGAGUCAGUGAGGUAAACAAUACAGUUAGAAUCAGGCAGACUACCAGAUAACAUGUUGACCUUCACUUUCUUCCCACUUCCUUCAGACAAAGGAAGCUUGGGAGGAGUAACAGGGGUACCUGCAGAUAACGUUUAAAAAGGAAAGAUGGUCAAGACAUGAGCUCUUGAGCCACAGAUUUUUAACUAUAUCACUUUCCCAGAGGAAAGUUAACUUUCUGUGGGGAAAGUUAAUCAAUGCAGAACUGGAAAAUCUGCCCGGAUAAAGAAUAGUCUGUGGUGCUGAAGUUUUGGCUCCAUGUUCUAAUGUUGAACUUGAUCAGCUAGGGGUACUUGAAGGACUCUUGCUGAGAUUGGCCAGGCCCAAGCUGUCUAAAAUGAAAAGUUCAAACUGUCUAAAAUGAAAACAGGAUAAAACUUUGGCUUUUUUCUCCAAAUUUGAAGGACCCAUUCUUAAAUUUUAGCAUUUCCAUGAGGGGUUGCCUGGUCAGGAGUAUAGAUUCCAGUGAAGGAGGCCUGAGGAAGUCAGAGUCACUCAUUGGUAGGCCACAGAUCAUGGCUGGUCCAUAGACAUAUUUUGUUCGGCUUAAGUAGUGUUUAAUUCUUACCUAAUUUUAGAAUCAAGAGACUUCUACAUGAAAUAAUUGUAUUUCUAGCUCUCUUUAAAAGUCAAGAUGUAGCUAGCUUAGCUCAUGUUUUUCCUGGAGGCUGGAGCUACACUGUGGCUACCCAUUCAGGUGAGAUAUAGACUCCUCACUUUGUUUUGUUUUGUUUUUUUUGGUACCGAGGCUCGAACUCGGGUCCUUGCGCUUGCGCAGCAGGUGGCAAAACCACUGAGCUAAAUCCCCGGCCCGAUAGACCCCUCACUUUGCACAGAGCAACCCACCACCAUUUGACCCCAGCUCUAUCUGCCUCUUCAUAUAUAUUAUUUGCCUGAGCCUCUAGUGUUGGGCUUUACAACUUCUGCUUGAUCUGGAUUCCUGGAGAACACUAGGAAAUAUAACCAAGUAAAGAUGCAGAGACCUUUCCACCACAACGUUAGUAGUCUGACAUAGUCAGUUCCUUGGUUUGGGGCAGUACUGUCUGUCCUUUGAAAAAAGGAGGGCAAUAAAACAUGGUGAAAAUCCUCAGAGGAAGAAAAGAGGGAGAGAAACACUGAUGCAGGUAAGUGCCUCCAGUACAGUAUCCUUCUUGGAACAGGUAGGUAAUGAACUCUCUUUGCCCUUGACUACCCCAAAACAAAUUGCCAUUUAAUUUUUUAAUUAAGCUGAAAAAAUAUCAGCCAGUGAAAAGUACAUCAAGCCAAUUCUGCUUUCUUGAACUACUUAACCAUUAACCUUCAUGCUCACAUCUACUUUGGUGAAAAGGACAUCUAUAUUUCUGGGAUAUUAAGGAAAAAAUCUUGCUCAUCACUGACUGUAAAAUGUAGUUCUCUUGCUACAUUUAUAAAACUGUACAGGUAAAAUGAGCUGUGGAUUUGAGAAUGUGGGUGACACAGGAGAGGAAAGACCAGGGAUAGCACAGCCCAUCAUCAGUAUUCAGAUUGUUGAAAUGUUGCCCAUGAAUUAAUUUGUUUAUUCAGGGCUCCCUGAGUAAUUCAUUCCCGUUAUCUUCACUUCUGAAUAAUGAGUUUGUAUCUUUUGAACUUCAUGCUAUUUCUAAAUUGGCCUUAAAACUCAUUUCACAUUUUAGAAUAAUAAUUCCUUUGUAUUAAAAACUAUGUGGACAAGGACGUAAUAAAUAAAAUCCUUUGGACCAAAGGAGACCUGAGUCAUAGUCUCUGCUCUUCUGUGAACCACUGUGUUACUCAGUGUGGUCAUACCACCUCUCUGAGCCUUACUUUUUACUUUGUAAAGAAGAUAUGAGAACUGGAUGAUCUUUCAGACUUUUUGAAAUUUUUAUAUUUUGAGAAACAAAGAAUUGGGAGAUGUUCUUAAAUUCGAGGCAGGCUGGUACCACUGGAUACUAACAAAUAAGUAAAACAUAGUAGUUUCCCUCUGGGUUUCUUUAUGCAAAGACCUAUUUUGAUCACUUUCUUUUUUUUUGAAAAAGCAUACUUAAGCUAGAAAAUCAUAAGAAAUAACACAUACUUUAGAUAUUUUAAGUUAUCACACAUUUAUUUUCUAAUAUUUCAUAGGGCUAAGGACUUUUUUUUUAUUUUUGGGUCUGUUAAUUAGUCAUCCAUUAGAAACUUUGUGACUUCUAGGACUGAUUUAAUGUGGAGCAAGAAUUUAGCCAUUGAGAAAGUUUAUAACAUUUCUUACUUGGUUUCCUUUAUCAAGAUUAAGCAUUUAACUCAGUUUUCACAAUACUGUUUUUGCCUUUGUAUUUCAUUGGUUUAGUUAAUAUUUAAUUACAUUACAUAAUUGUUAUAAUGUGUGCAAAUAGCAUAAGCAAAGACAAUAAUGCUUGGUAAGGAUAGAGCUCAUAUGGAAUGCAGGAAAGUACUGGAUUUGGGGAUACUAUACAUUAGUGAUCAACAUGUUGAGGUCCUAGUUAGUACAUGGAUAAUAAAAAGUCAAUUAGGGGUGGGGAAGUAGCUGAGUCACAAAGUACUUGUCUAUCAUGCUUGAGUCCCUGUGUUCAGUCCCCAGUACUACUAAAUAAGAAAAUAAAUAGUCCAUAAAAUGUAAGUUGAUCAAUCAGACUGCCAAAUGAAUGUUUUCUCAGUUCAAAUUGAUUGCAGGUAAACAAAACAAUCCUAAUAAACUUAGGCAAGGAAAGCAAUUUAUUGGAAGGCUCUGAGAUGACACACUAAACUGAAGGGAAAGCCAAACAGCUAGUUCUCUGAAAAAUAAGAACUUGGGAAACACUGAUUAUCUCAGGAGCAGGCACUAAUGGACAAUCUCUUCAGGGUGUCAUCACUGGAUAAAUUGGCUCCAAAUGUCUUUUCAUCUUUUUGUCACUCUGAUCAAGACCAGACUCUCCAGGAGAGACUCGAAUUGGUCUAUGGCACAUAUGUACUAUCUUAAAGCAAAAACAACAACAACAACAACAAAAAAAACCAGACAAGAUAGAGAACUUCUACAAGACAGCAUGAACUGAGGAUGGAUCAUUCUCCAAAGGCAAUUUAGAAACUGUCACUAGAGGGAGGGAACUAUGCAUGGUGCGCCUAGGCCUAUAUAAGUGUAUUAGUCCAAUAAGAUACAUAGAGAUACAGAGAAAGUGAUUUGUUACGCAGAAUUGGCUCACAUAAUUAUAGAGGCAGAGAAGAUCCAGUUUUUGCUGUCUGCAAGCUGGAGCCUAGGAAAGGUAUAGUUUCACUCCAAAUCUGAAGGCUUGAGGGGCCGGGGAUUUACCUCAGUGGUUCUGCUGCCUACCUCGCAAGCGCAAGGUCCCGAGUUUGAUCCCCAGUAAGAACAACAAUAAAAAAGUGUACCAAAUCUGAAGGCCUGAGAACCAGAAAAGUCCAUGUUCAAGGCCAGAGAACAUGGAUGUUCUAGCUCUAGCAGAGAAAAUUCACCCUUCAUCUGCCUUUGUGCCCUACUCAGACCCUCAGUGGAUUGGAUGACGCCCAUUACCAUUGGUGAUGAGGAUCUUUUUUACACAGCCUACUGAUUCAUAUGUGACUCUCUUCUGGGCAGCCCUGUCAAGUUGACAUAUAAUUUAACCACCACAUUAAAUAUAUGUGCAGAAUAUAGCCUUAGCUAUGGGUUAACAGCGUAAGAGGUGACUAAUGAUUCUGGCUAGAAGGCAGCAAAGGAUGUUCACAAUACAAGAAAACCUUCAGUAGUUGAGUAUAGCAUUAAGCUUCCACAUCUAUUGUUUUCUGAAACUCUCAAGGUUGCAACCUUCAGAAGCUCUAUGCAAAAUGCACCAGUUUCCUUGACCAUCCACACUGUUUCAGCUGAGAGUAGGUGGGGAGGUCUAUAUUCUGGCCGUAGCUUGUUACUUAAUAAAUGUGUGAUCACGGGUGGGCCAUUGCUUCUGAAGCCC